AAUGAACGCUGGCGGCAGGCCUAACACAUGCAAGUCGAGCGGGACCUUCGGGUCUAGCGGCGGACGGGUUAGUAACACGUGGGAACGUACCUCUCUCUACGGAAUAGCCUCGGGAAACUGAGCGUAAUACCGUAUACGCCCUUUGGGGGAAAGAUUUAUCGGAGAGAGAUCGGCCCGCGUCUGAUUAGAUAGUUGGUGGGGUAAUGGCCUACCAAGUCUACGAUCAGUAGCUGGUUUGAGAGGAUGAUCAGCAACACUGGGACUGAGACACGGCCCAGACUCCUACGGGAGGCAGCAGUGGGGAAUCUUGGACAAUGGGCGCAAGCCUGAUCUAGCCAUGCCGCGUGAGUGAUGAAGGCCUUAGGGUCGUAAAGCUCUUUCGCUGGGGAAGAUAAUGACUGUACCCAGUAAAGAAACCCCGGCUAACUCCGUGCCAGCAGCCGCCGUAA
rnacentral:rRNA from 1 species